rnacentral:miRNA from 1 species
ACAGGUCAGGCUCUUGGGACCU